rnacentral:rRNA from 1 species
UACGGGGGGGGCAAGCGUUGUUCGGAAUUACUGGGCGUAAAGGGCCAGUAGGCGGCCAACUAGGCCGGAUGUGAAAUCCCCAGGCUUAACCUGGGAACUGCAUCCGAUACUGGAUGGCUUGAAUUCGGGAGAGGGAUGCAGAAUUCCAGGUGUAGCGGUGAAAUGCGUAGAUAUCUGGAGGAAUACCGGUGGCGAAGGCGGCAUCCUGGACCGACAUUGACGCUGAACGGCGAAAGCUAGGGGAGCAAACGGG